AGAGUUUGAUCAUGGCUCAGAACGAACGCUGGCGGCGUGCUUAACACAUGCAAGUCGAGUGCGCGUGCCGUAGCAAUACGGUAUGGCGCACGGCGCACGGGUGCGUAACACGUGGGCAAUCUGCCCUUCGAUGGGGAAUAACUCCGGGAAACCGAAGCUAAUUCCGCAUAACAUUCCCUGGACUCCGGUUCGGGGAUUCAAAGCAGCAAUGCGUCGGAGGAGGAGCCCGCGCCCGAUUAGCUAGUUGGUAGGGUAACGGCCUACCAAGGCUUUGAUCGGUAGCUGGUCUGAGAGGAUGGCCAGCCACACUGGAACUGAGACACGGUCCAGACUCCUACGGGAGGCAGCAGUGGGGAAUCUUGCGCAAUGGGCGAAAGCCUGACGCAGCGACGCCGCGUGGGGGAUGAAGCUUCUCGGAGUGUAAACCCCUUUCGACUGGGACGAAUGCCUCGCAAGAGGAGUGACGGUACCAGUAGAAGAAGCCCCGGCUAACUACGUGCCAGCAGCCGCGGUAAGACGUAGGGGGCCAGCGUUGUUCGGAAUUACUGGGUGUAAAGGGUUCGUAGGCGGUGUGGCAAGUCGGGAGUGAAAUUUCUGGGCUUAACCCAGAGGCUGCUUCCGAAACUGCUGUGCUCGAGUGUGGGAGAGGCGCGUGGAAUUGCAGGUGUAGCGGUGAAAUGCGUAGAUAUCUGCAGGAACACCCGUGGCGAAAGCGGCGCGCUGGACCACAACUGACGCUGAGGAACGAAAGCUAGGGGAGCAAACAGGAUUAGAUACCCUGGUAGUCCUAGCCCUAAACGAUCAGGACUUGGGGUGCCACCCGUUCGGGUGUCGUCCCGGAGCUAACGCGUUAAGUCCUGCACCUGGGGAGUACGGUCGCAAGACUGAAACUCAAAGGAAUUGACGGGGCCCGCAC
rnacentral:rRNA from 1 species